UCCCUGGUGGCUUAGCAGGUUAAGGAUCUGGCAUUAUCACUGCUAUGGUAUAGGUUCAAUCCCUGGCCGGGGAA
rnacentral:tRNA from 1 species